rnacentral:tRNA from 1 species
GGAUGGAGCAGUCUGGUAGCUCGUCGGGCUCAUAACCCGAAGGUCGUUGGUUCAAAUCCAGCUCCCGCAACCA